rnacentral:rRNA from 1 species
CUACGGGCCGCAGCAGUGGGGAAUAUUGCGCAAUGGGGGAAACCCUGACGCAGCAACACCGUGUGAGGGAUGAAGGCUUUCGGGUCGUAAACCUCUGUCAGGCAGGACGAAACAUCUAAACAUGAAUAAUGUUUAGAUCUGACGGUACUGCCAGAGGAAGUCCCGGCUAACUCCGUGCCAGCAGCCGCGGUAAUACGGAGGGGACAAACGUUGUUCGGAAUUAUUGGGCGUAAAGAGCGCGUAGGUGGUCAGAAAAGUCAGACGUGAAAUCCCUCUGCUCAACAGAGGAAGGGCGUUUGAAACUCUCGGGCUUGAGUGUGGGGGAGGAGAGUGGAAUUCCCAGUGUAGCGGUGAAAUGCGUAGAUAUUGGGAAGAACACCAGUGGCGAAGGCGGCUCUCUGGCCCAUUACUGACACUGAGGCGCGAAAGCUAGGGGAGCAAACGGGAUUAGAUACCCGUGUAGUC